rnacentral:rRNA from 1 species
AUUGAACGCUGGCGGCAUGCCUUACACGUGCAAGUCGAACGGUAACAGGUCUUCGGAUGCUGACGAGUGGCGAACGGGUGAGUAAUACAUCGGAACGUGCCCGAUCGUGGGGGAUAACGGAGCGAAAGCUUUGCUAAUACCGCAUACGAUCUACGGAUGAAAGCAGGGGACCGCAAGGCCUUGCGCGGACGGAGCGGCCGAUGGCAGAUUAGGUAGUUGGUGGGAUAAAAGCUUACCAAGCCGACGAUCUGUAGCUGGUCUGAGAGGACGACCAGCCACACUGGGACUGAGACACGGCCCAGACUCCUACGGGAGGCAGCAGUGGAGAAUUUUGGACAAUGGGCGCAAGCCUGAUCCAGCCAUGCCGCGUGCAGGAUGAAGGCCUUCGGGUUGUAAACUGCUUUUGUACGGAACGAAAAGACUCUUUCUAAUAAAGAGGGUCCAUGACGGUACCGUAAGAAUAAGCACCGGCUAACUACGUGCCAGCAGCCGCAGUAA